AUGUGUGUGAAAUGGUUAUAUAUACUUGUUGUUUGUUGAGCUUUUGAAAUGAUGAAAUGACAUUUAUUUGUUACUUUGAUGAUUUUAUCAUUAUUACUGUGUGUGGUUGUUGGGAUUCUUACUGGGCUGGAAAAGCUCAUACUACUCUUACUUUCUUUUUCAGAGGCACUGGAUUUGUAGAGUCCAUCGGGUGGGACGAGAAAUGAGAUCAGCAUGGAGUCUGACUGCU
rnacentral:lncRNA from 1 species